rnacentral:rRNA from 1 species
UACGUAGGUGGCAAGCGUUGUCCGGAUUUACUGGGCGUAAAGAGCGCGCAGGCGGUCGUUCAAGUCGCGUGGGAAAGCCCCCGGCUCAACUGGGGAGGGUCACGCGAUACUGAUCGACUGGAAGGCAGGAGAGGGUAGUGGAAUUCCCGGUGUAGUGGUGAAAUGCGUAGAUAUCGGGAGGAACACCAGUGGCGAAGGCGACUACCUGGCCUGUUCUUGACGCUGAGGCGCGAAAGCUAGGGGAGCAAACGGG